CGACCCUCCAGGUCAGGCGGAUAGCAGGUC
rnacentral:rRNA from 1 species